CGUGUCUCUACAUUUUAUUAUUUUAUAUUCAGUUCAUUCAAUUAAUUCAACGGUACAUCUCAAAAUAUCAGGGCUCUGUUUCAACACACAAUAACAGUACAGCACAAAAGACAGAAAAAUGAACUUUUCAAAUUAAAAAGGAUUAUAAUUAGGAUGAAAUCAAUGUGAUCUGCUAGUCGUCAUAUAUAUAUAUAUAUAUAUAUAUAUAUAUAUACUAUUUAAAUGCAUAUAUCAUAAUCAACCUUUACCCCUGGAAGCCAUACUGUAUGACAGGGUUUGGCAACUAGACUCAGCCACAAGAUGAUUUUUGUGGUCCGGGGGCCAGAACAUAAUUCUAAUCAUUUGUACACUGCAAAUUGACCACAGCUAAGCUCAAAAAGAGAUUGUGUAUUUCAAAUAGAAUCAUUUCAAACCUUGACUUUACCGAGGCACCAUUACCUACGUCUCUUUAUUUAUUCCUGGGAAAACAUGAGGAACAGAUUUACUGGGGCUGAAUUUCUGGUGAUUUUACAAUCUCCUUCGACCGGUUUUGGCCCGCGGGCCGUCUGUUGCCGACUCCUGGUAAAAUAGCCUUGUUUGUACUGUCUUACAUCCACUUUGCAUUACAUCUGGUAAUGUUAAGUCUGACAUCUCCUGCCUACACAGACAGGAUAAAGAGCCUAACGUUGUGUCAGCAGAACUAUUGAAAUGUUACAUUUAAGUUAUGGAAAGAUGAUUUCCUCAACGUUUGUAGUAAUGCAUAAUUCUGUCAAGUCUGGCAGAUUGCCUACCUACAAAGAGCUGUGUGGGGCUUUGAAGGUAGACUUUCUGUAAGCAAGUGUUGCCUAAACGUUGCAGAAAUGUUAGUGCUGCAAUGUUACGGCAAGCUUUACAUUACAGCAAUGUUACGUGGAGAUGUAGCUUUUUUUGUGGACCAUAAAGCAAAAGAACCUGGUUCUGGUUCUCAAAAAGCUACCUCUACCUCUACCUCUACCUCUACCUCUACCUCUCACAGCUUGUGCAAUUCAGUGCAUCGAGACGCAUGUAAAUACAUGGUGUGUGUGUGUGUGUGUUAGGGUGUGUGUGUGUGUCUGUGUGUAUUAGAGUGUGUGUGAGUGUUAGUGUGUAUUAGAGUGUGUGUGUGUCUGUGUGUAUAAGAGUGUGUGUGUGUCUGUGUGUAUUAGAGUGUGUGUGUCUGUGUGUAUUAGAGUGUCUGUGUGUAUUAGUGUGUGUGUGUGUGUGUGUAUUAGUGUGUAUUAGUGUGUGUGUGUAUUAGAGUGUGUGUGUGUCUGUGUGUAUUAGUGUGUGUGUGUGUAUUAGAGUGUCUGUGUGUAUUAGUGUGUGUGUGUGUCUGUGUGUAUUAGAGUGUGUGUGUGUGUCUGUGUGUAUUAGUGUGUGUGUGUGUAUUAGAGUGUGUGUCUGUGUGUGUCUGUGUGUAUUAGUGUGUGUGUAUUAGAGUGUGUGUGUCUGUGUGUAUUAGUGUGUGUCUGUGUGUAUUAGAGUGUGUGUGUGUAUUAGUGUGUGUGUGUGUGUGUAUUAGAGUGUGUGUGUCUGUGUGUAUGUGUGUGUCUGUGUGUAUUAGAGUGUGUGUGUCUGUGUGUAUUAGAGUGUCUGUGUGUAUUAGAGUGUGUGUGUGUCUGUGUGUAUUAGAGUGUGUGUGUCUGUGUCCUCACAGUCUGUUCUAUGAGUUGUUGUUUAAUCAGUGUUUAAAGGUCAUUCUGCUGUUUGCUGCCUAACAGAAGAUGGAAGGGAGUUCUAUGUGAUCGUGUCUCUGUUUAAUAAUUCUGUGAGUUGCCGUGAAUUCCUUUUGGACUUUGGGACUGUGAAGAGACCCCUGGUGGCAUGUCUUGUUGGGUAUGUAUGGGGUGGCUGAAGAGACCCCUGGUGGCAUGUCUUGUUGGGUAUGUAUGGGGUGUCUGAAGAGACCCCUGGUGGCAUGUCUUGUUGGGUAUGUAUGGGGUGUCUGAAGAGACCCCUG
ensembl:lncRNA